AUUCUGUGAACCUUUGGGCAGAAUGCUUGUUCCAUGUGGGCCAUUUUUGGUAAGCAGAACUGGCGAUGAGGGAUGAACCUAACGCUUAGAUAAGGUGCCUAAAUCUGCAUUCAUGAGAUCCCACAAAAGGUGUUGGUUCAUUUAGACAGCAGGACGGUGGCCCUGGAAGUCGGAAUCCGCUAAGGAGUGUGUAACAACUCACCUGCCGAAUGAACUAGCCCUGAAAAUGG
rnacentral:rRNA from 1 species